UUGGUCAAUGGCCUAACGGCUGAACCAGCAAUUCAAAUGGAUGUCCUGUUUUUAAUGGGUUAAAUCAGUCUUAAAAGAAAAAGACAAAAGCUAAUUGAAGUUUUUAGUGGUUUAUCCACAUGAAGAUCUGAUAGGAUACUGAUAAUGACAAUAUUCUAUAUUAGUCUUGACUAACUCACGUGCCAGCAGUCGCGGCAAUACGGGAGAGACGAGUGUUAUUCAUCUUUAUUAGGUUUAAAGGGUACCUAGACAGUAUAAUUUGCUAUUAUAAGAACAUUUAUGCUAGAGUUUUAUGUGAAAGGGGUUUAGUACUAACAGAGUAGAGAUAAAAUUUUGUGAUACUGUUGGGCACUGGUAACGGCGAAGGCAGACCUUUAUGUAAAAACUGACGUUGAGGGACGAAGGCUUGGGUAGCAAACAGGAUUAGAUACCCUAUUAGUCCAGGCAGAAAAUGAUGAGUGCCAUAGAUUAGAGAGAUUUUGAUCUAUAAAUGAAAGUAGAAGCAUUCCACCUCAAGAGUAAUGUGGCAACGCAGGAACUGAAAUCAUUAGACCGUGCCCGAAACCAGUAGUGAAGUAUGUUGUUUAAUUCGAUAACCCUCGAAAAACCUUACCACGAAUUGUAUAUAUAUAGCUGAGUAAAACUACAUUGUUUUACCUGGAAUCUUUUAAGUAAAAACGCUAUUUUUUACAAGUGCUGCAUGGCUGUCUCAAGUUAAUGUCGUGAGAUGCAGGUUAGCUCCAUCAAAUUAACGUAAACCCUCAUUACACUUUAGUGUGGUGGUUCUCCGGCAUAUCGGGAAGAUAAA
rnacentral:rRNA from 1 species